UACGUAGGCAGCGAGCGUUUGUUCGGAAUUACUGGGCGUAAAGAGUGUGUAGGCGGUGCUCUAAGUUCGGUGUGAAAUCUCCCGGCUUAACUGGGAGGGUGCGCCGGAAACUGGAGUGCUCGAGCGUGGGAGAGGAAAGCGGAAUUCCUGGUGUAGCGGUGAAAUGCGUAGAUAUCAGGAGGAACACCUGCGGUGUAGACGGCUUUCUGGGAC
rnacentral:rRNA from 1 species